GACGAACGCUGGCGGCGUGCUUAACACAUGCAAGUCGAACGAUGACAACCGAGAUUGCUCUGUCUGUUUAGUUGCGAAGUUGUUAGUAACUCGUUAGCUACCUCCCCUUCACUCUGGGAUAACCUCGGGAAAUCCGGCCUAAUACCGGAUCUAAUCUCCUGUCGCAUCGUUGCUUUUCGAGAGUUUUUCGGUGAAGGAUGGCUUCGCGGCCUAUCAGUUUGUUGGUUCGGUAUUUGCUCACCAAGGUGAUGACGGGUAGCCGGCCUGAGAAGGCGACCGGGCACAAUGGGACUGAGAGACGGACCAGAGUCGUACGGGAGGCAACAGGGGAGAAUAUUGCACAAUGGGCGAAAGCGAGAGGCAGAGACGCCGCGUGAGGGAUAACGGGCUUCGGGUUAUAAACGUCUGUCAGCAGGGAAGAAGCGAAAGUGACGGUACAUGCAGAAGAAGCGCCGGCUAACUACGUG
rnacentral:rRNA from 1 species